UACGUAGGUGGCAAGCGUUGUCCGGAUUUACUGGGCGUAAAGAGCGCGCAGGCGGUCGUUCAAGUCGAGUGUGAAAGCCCCCGGCUCAACUGGGGAGGGUCACUCGAUACUGAUCGACUCGAAGGCAGAAGAGGGAAGCGGAAUUCCCGGUGUAGUGGUGAAAAUGCGUAGAUAUCUGGAGGAACACCGGUGGCGAAGGCGGCAUCCUGGACCAAUACUGACACUGAGGAGCGAAAGCCAGGGGAGCAAACGGG
rnacentral:rRNA from 1 species